rnacentral:rRNA from 1 species
UACGAAGGGGGCUAGCGUUGCUCGGAAUUACUGGGCGUAAAGGGCGCGUAGGCGGGUCGUUAAGUUGGGGGUGAAAGCCCAGGGCUCAACCCUGGAAUUGCCUUCAAUACUGGCGACCUUGAGUAUGGCAGAGGUGUGUGGAACUCCGAGUGUAGAGGUGAAAUUCGUAGAUAUUCGGAAGAACACCAGUGGCGAAGGCGAUACACUGGGCCAUUACUGACGCUGGAGGCGCGAAAGCGUGGGGAGCAAACAGGA